UCUAAAUCAAUAUAUAUUUCAACAGUGUGGAGAUCUAAGCACAAGAUCGUGGUCACCUUGAAUUCUCUGGCCCAGGAUUUGCAGAGGGAAAUCAGCCACUGCUUUGUAACAGCGAAUCUUAGACUUCAUGAAGAUCCACAGAUGCACUGGACACUAACAUUGAUCAUCUGGAGGGAUGGCACGGUGUCAAAGGUUCCAUUCCAGAUCUUAUCCAGAACCUGAUUGAAAAUUUCAACACACCACUGGAGGCUGUUCUUCCAAGAUGAUUUUGUCUAAAGUCUGACAAGCUGCCCUGGCUGUAAGCAAGGAAUGCAUUCAGGACUGAGGGCCAGGACCUUGUUCCAGCACCUGUUGGACUGAGCUUCCUCUGAACAUGGUGCCUGAGUGUCUCCUGAAGGUCAUGAGAUAAACAAAGCAAAGUUGUAUUAAAAUUGACUCAUGGAAUCUCCCUGGUACUGACCUGCUGGGAGACCCAGCACCACCAUCAGACUGAGGAGGAAGGAGGCAGGCAUUUCUGGAUCAACGUCUUCCUGACUCAGCAGGUUCUGGAGUCCAUUGAUGGGGAGGUUGCAUUUAAGUAAUAAGCAUUUGCCAAUGAGUAUUACUGGCUAGUAUGCAAGGUGGGGCUCAUGAACAGCAUGCUAAUGGACAGGUCCCACAAUGAAACAAGAAAAUAUCUCUAGAACUGGUUACUGAAGCAAGCUGGAUGCAGGCACGUGUCAGUGGUGGGAGUGAUGUAGCCACAGGAAUACACUGAAUUUGUAGUCUCCCUCGAGUUCAGUAUUUGCAAUCAGAAUGCUAUCAUAGUCCCAGUGUAUGUGGAUUGUUUGGUUUGAACGCAUAACAAUUCUAAAAAUGGAAGAAACACUGAAUUGUUUCUCCAGACACAGGGACAUUUUCACUCACUUCUCACAGUGCAUAAGCAGUAGCGUAGAGAAGUUCCCAGAGGUGAUCCAACCAUGGCUGGUAAUUUCCAACUGCUGACCGUGCCAUCUAGUUGUAAGUAGUUGUAGAUGAGAUUUCAACAUAAUUUUUCAUGGCUCUUUCUCAAGUAAAAUACGUAUAAGGAUAGAGCCUGAAAAAAAGUAUUUUUGCUUUGAAAUGUAUCUAGAACAAAAGGUUAAGUCCUCAGCAAAUAACAUAAAAAGUGGACAUUCUAUUCCUGCAAUAUUACAGUCUCAGAAAUUCCCACCUGAAGUUCUACCCUACCACUAGGGUCACUAUGACAAAAUUAGAGAAGAGAUCUGACAAAAACACUUCAAACCAUACUUUACUAAGUUUCAUGUUCAUAUCAUUUACAAAUUCUUCAAAGACCUUGGCUUUCCUGGUUUCACACAGUAGUCUGUUUAUUUAAUCUGUUUACUCAGAUGUGAUUUCUUGUUCUUUUAUUUUUCAAAAAGAAUCCCACUGUUUUGCUGAAAUAUGAGUGUUUUGUUUUUUGUUCAGAUCAUUCUAGAAACUCAUUUUA